CCUACGGGAGGCAGCAGUGGGGAAUCUUGGACAAUGGGCGCAAGCCUGAUCCAGCAAUGCCGCGUGCGUGAAGAAGGCCUUCGGGUUGUAAAGCGCUUUUGUCGGGGAGCAAAAGCUCAGUGCGAAUAACACUGGGUCUUGAGAGUACCCGAAGAAUAAGGACCGGCUAACUACGUGCCAGCAGCCGCGGUAAUACGUAGGGUCCAAGCGUUAAUCGGAAUUACUGGGCGUAAAGCGUGCGCAGGUGGCCUGCUAAGCGCGAUGUGAAAUCCCCGAGCUCAACUUGGGAAUUGCAUUGCGAACUGGCAGGCUAGAGUAUGGCAGAGGGGGGUGGAAUUCCGCGUGUAGCAGUGAAAUGCGUAGAGAUGCGGAGGAACACCGAUGGCGAAGGCAACCCCCUGGGCUAAUACUGACACUCAUGCACGAAAGCGUGGGGAGCAAACAGGAUUAGAUACCCUGGUAGUCCACGCCCUAAACGAUGUCAACUAGUUGUUGGCUCUUCGGAGCUUAGUAACGCAGCUACGCGUGAGUAGACGCCGUGGGAGGUACGGUCGCGAGACGUAAACCGUACGAACUAGAGUUAGACGGACGUUAGAGACGNGCCGACGGACGACCGACGAGGGAGGAGGG
rnacentral:rRNA from 1 species